GCUAGGCAUGGUGGUGCAUGCCUGUAAUCCCAGCAGCUCAGGAGGCUGAGGCAGGAGGAUUGCAAGUUUAAAGCCAGCCUCAGCAAAAGCGAGGUGCUAAGCAACUUAGUGAGAUCCUGUCUCUA
rnacentral:sRNA from 1 species